UACCCAUGGCCAGGUUGAAGUUGCAGUAACAUGCAAUGGAGGACCGAACCGAUAAGCGUUGAAAAGCUUCCGGAUGAGCUGUGGGUAGGGGUGAAAGGCCAAUCAAACUGAGAGAUAGCUCGUACUCCCCGAAAUGCAUUUAGGUACAGCGUUGAGCGUAUUGUUAUAGAGGUAGAGCUACUGAUUGGGCUAGGGGGCUUCACCGCCUACCAAACCCUGACAAACUCCGAAUGCUAUCAUAUAUCUCCGGGAGUGAGGCUGUGGGCGCUAAGGUCCAUGGCCGAGAGGGAAAUAACCCAGAUUAGCAACUAAGGUCCCUAAUACACAGUUAAGUUGAUCAAACGAUGUGGGGCUUCUAUAACAGCCAGGAUGUUGGCUUGGAAGCAGCCAUUCAUUUAAAGAGUGCGUAACAGCUCACUGGUCGAGAGGCCCUGCGCGGAAAAUAAUCGGGCAUCAAACUGUGAACCGAAGUUCUAAGAUUGCCACUACGUGGUAUAUCGGUAGGGGAGCAUUCUGAUCUGCUUUGAAGGUGUGCGGCGACGCAUGCUGGAGCGUUCAGAAAAGAAAAUGUAGGCAUAAGUAGCGAUAAAACAGGUGAAAAACCUGUUCGCCGUAAGUCUAAGGUUUCCUGAUCAACGUUAAUCGGAUCAGGGUUAGUCGGGUCCUUAGGAAAACCCGAAAGGGGUAUCUGAUGGAAAGCUGGUUAAUAUUCCAGCACCCGCUUUAGUUUCGAUGGGGUAACGGGGUAGUGAAAGGACUGCGUGGCAACGGAUGUUCACGUUAAAGGGUGUAGUUAUAUUUUGUACAGGUAAAUCCGUACAGAAUGGCGAACCUGAUAGUACAGCAAAGCUUCGGCAGCGCUGAUAGUGAUCCUAAUCAGACCUCCGAGAAAAACUUCUAAGUUAUGUUUAAAGCAGCCCGUACCGCAAACCGACACAGGUGGGCGAGAUGAGUAUUCUAAGGCGCUCGGGUGAGCCGUGGAGAAGGAACUAGGCAAAUUGACGCUGUAACUUCGGGAUAAAGCGUACCGUAGCGAUACGGUCCCAGUAAAAUGGUUCAACCAACUGUUUAACAAAAACACAGGGCCCUGCAAAAUCGUAAGAUGACGUAUAGAGCCUGAUACCUGCCCGGUGCUGGAAGGUUAAGGAAGGGUGUUCGCCGCAAGGCAAAGCUCCUGACUGAAGCCCCAGUAAACGGCGGCCGUAACUAUAACGGUCCUAAGGUAGCGAAAUUCCUUGUCGGGUAAGUUCCGACCUGCACGAAUGGUGUAACGA
rnacentral:rRNA from 1 species